UAUAAUUUAAAGUAGGGCCUGCCCACUGAGAUUUUGAAGGGCCGCAGUAUCUUAACUGUGCAAAGGUAGCAUAAUCAUUAGUUUUUUAAUUGAAAGCUGGAAUGAAUGGUUUGAUGAAAAAAUUACUGUUUCAAUAUUAAUUUUUUAAAAUUUUAUUUUUAAGUAAAAAAGCUUAAAUAAUAAUAAAAGACGAGAAGACCCUAUAGAGUUUUAUUUAUUUUAAUAUAUUAAUAUUAAGUUUUUAUUUUUUAGUAUAUUUAAAUAAAUUUGAUUGGGGUGAUUUAAAAAUUAAAUUAACUUUUUAUAAAUUUGUACAUUUAUUUAUG
rnacentral:rRNA from 1 species